rnacentral:rRNA from 1 species
GAUGAACGCUGGCUACAGGCUUAACACAUGCAAGUCGAGGGGAAACGACGGGGAAGCUUGCUUCCCCGGGCGUCGACCGGCGCACGGGUGAGUAACGCGUAUCCAACCUGCCUCUGACUGAGGGAUAACCCGUCGAAAGUCGGCCUAAUACCUCAUGGCAUCGUCUGCGGGCAUCCAACGACGAUUAAAGAUUUCAUCGGUCAGAGAUGGGGAUGCGUCUGAUUAGCUUGUUGGCGGGGUAACGGCCCACCAAGGCGACGAUCAGUAGGGGUUCUGAGAGGAAGGGCCCCCACAUUGGAACUGAGACACGGUCAAAACGCCUACGGGAGGAAGCAGUGGGGAAUAUUGGUCAAGGGGCGAGGGCCUAAACCAGCAAAGUGGCGGGAGGGAUGACGCCCCUUGGGGUUGUAACCUGUUUUUAUGGGGGGAUAAAGGGGGGGACGUGUCCUUCAUUGCAGGUACCGCUGAAAAAAGGACCGGCUAAUUCCGU